GCAGCAGAACAAUGUGCUGGGCUUCCCCUUGUUCCCAAACCAAGUGACUGACUUUCAGCAGCUCUGUGUCAUUGAGCCAGAGCUACCCAGCGCCCUGCCAGAGCUUCAAGUUAAAAGCUGGCCUGCGGAGGAGCACAUUCCAGCACCGGGCUGUCAUGCACACCCAGAUGCUGGAAAGGGGCUUUGCUGCUGGCUGCCGAUGGAGAAAUCCUCUUGGGCCCGGAGAGCUGUUUUGUGAGCAACCUGUGUGAGCCAACAUGAACCUCAGCAAACUUGUCCACAGCUCCUGUCUGCUGAGGGGAUGGAGGCGGAUUCCAACACCGCUUUGUCAUGAGCUAACCAGCACGAAGAGGAGGCUUCUGUCAUUAGUAGCUCAGCGUAACCCUAAGGUGACAUGGACCAGGGAGUGAGGAGUCAUCAGGCCAGGAGGGGCUGCUGACAUUCCCCAGAGCUGCAUCAAGACCUACCUGCCUUGGCAGGGAGAGCAAGGAGAAGGUCAGUGUUGAAUUGGAGGAGGUAAGUAGGGAGGAAGGUGACAGAGUGGCUCCCAUUGGUACAUGGGGGUCUCAGCAGAUGAAAAAGCUGAUGGCUGAGGUGACAACAAGAGAAAAAGGCAGAGAGAGGAGGGGUAGCAUACCACUGCCGCUGUGAAAAACAGUAGGAAAAUCAAAUGUGCCUCUUUGUGGUUUCUCCGCUCCCACCAGGAGAAACUGCUUUCUCAGGAGAACUUUCCUGGCUGCCCACUGGUGCCAGUGGACAGGGACUCUUACAGAGAAGGCUGGGAGGCUGCGAGCCCUGCCGAGUGCCUUGCUCCAUUCCCCAAAUAGAAGUGCUCAGCAGUCACUGCUCCAAACAAGGUGCUUGGCAAAGGCAGCUGCUGCUUGGCAGUCUGCCCGGUGCCCCGAAAUAACGCUGCCGGCUGAGAGCAAACCUGCUGCAUCACCACUGCUUUCAGGAAGCCAAGCACCCCGUCGGGAUGGAUAAGCAAACAGAACGCAGCCCUCCCUUUCCCACAGAGGUAGGGGUGAUUUCACUUUAACUGUAGCAUGCAAAAUGCAGAACAACUAGAGGAGAAGCUUUGCCAUUAAACCAGCAUGAAUCUGGAGUGCCACGUGCUGAUUUCUGCACUGACUUUUUAAGUGCUAAUUGGUCUUUUAUGUCUUCUUUACUGACAUUGAAAACACUCCUGGGUUCUGCCUGUUGUAAUUGUUCAUCUCUACAAGCAAUUGGAAAUAAGGAGUAAAUCUUUUCCAUAAUGAAGACGUACACAAUAUGCAGGCUUUUCAUGUGCCCAGCACUGCUCUGCUUCUGUUGAAAAGGAUGGAAAACCACCUUGAAACCACUGCAAUAAAAACCAGGUGAAUUCCAA